ACCCGUUGAUCCUGCGGGAGAUUGCUGCUAUCUGGGUUCGACUAAGCCAUGCAAGUCUGGGCUCGCAAGAGACCGGCAAACUGCUCAGUAACACGUCGAUAAUCUGCCCUUAAGUCUGGAAUAACCUUGGGAAACUGAGGCUAAGACCGGAUAGAAAAACAAAUCUGGAAUGAUUGUCUUUUUAAAGGCAACGCUUAAGGAUGAGUUGGCGGCGGAUUAGGCUGUUGGCGAGGUAACGGCUCACCAAACCGAAGAUCCGUAGGGGCUCUGAGAGGAGUAGCCCCGAGAAGGGCACUGAGACACUGGCCCUAGCCCUACGGGGUGCAGCAGGCGCGAAAACUUUGCAAUGCACGAAAGUGUGACAAGGGAACCCAGAGUGCUUAUACAAAGUAUAGGCUUUUGCCAAGAGCAAAUAUCUUGGAGAAUAAGUGGUGGGAAAGACUGGUGCCAGCCGCCGCGGUAACCCCAGCGCCACAAGUGGGAAUCACGUUUAUUGGGCCUAAAGCAUCCGUAGCUGGUUUUGUAAAUCCUUUGUGAAAUCGUUUCGCUCAACGGAACGGCGUGCAGAGGACACUGCAGAACUAGGGACCGGGAGGGGUUAGGGGUAUGCAAUGGGGAGCGGUAAAAUGCUAUAAUCCAUUGUAGACCACCUGUGGCGAAGGCGCCUAACCAGAACGGGUCCGACAGUGAGGGAUGAAAGCCAGGGGAGCAAACCGGAUUAGAUACCCGAGUAGUCCUGGCCGUAAACGCUGCGAGCUAGGUGUCGCGUAUUCUUCGGGAAUACGCGGUGUCGUAGUGAAGAUGUUAAGCUCGCCGCCUGGGAAUUACGGUCGCAAGACUGAAACUUAAAGGAAUUGGCGGGGGAGCACUACAAGGGGUGCGGCGUGCGGUUUAAUCUAACUAUACGCAGAGCAUCUCACCAGAGGCGACGGCAGGAUGAAGGUCAGUCUGAAGGGCUUACCUGACGAGCCGAGAGGUAGUGCAUGGCCGCCGUCAGCUCGUGUCGUAGGAUGUCCUGUUAAGUCAGGCAACGAGCGAGACCUGUAUCUACAAUUGCUAACGGCUCAUUUUGAGAACUGAGCACAUUGUAGGGACUGCCUUGGAAACAAGGAGGAAGGUGCAGGCAACGGUAGGUCUGUAUGCUCCGAAUCUUCUGGGCUACACGCGCGCAACAAUGGUGCAGACAAUGGGCUGCAACACCGAAAGGUGAAGCUAAACCUCGAAACUGCAUCCAAGUCCAGAUUGAGGGCUGUAACUCGCCCUCAUGACGUUGGAAUCCCUAGUAAUCGGUCCUCAUCACAGACCGGUGAAUAUGUCCCUGCUCCUUGCACACACCGCCCGUCAAACCACCCGAGUAGGGUCUAGAUGAGGCCUAAUUUUUAAUUAUGUCGAAUCUAGGCUUUGCGAGGAGGGUUAAGUCGUCACAAGGUA
rnacentral:rRNA from 1 species